AUGCUCGAUUGGUGGUGCUCUCCCUCCUCCUCGGCCGUGUGGACGGCGUGGCGGCGGGCGUUGGGCGCAGGUCGCACUCUCCUCUUCUUCUCAUCCUCUCCCCCCGUCAGAUCUGGCCCCUGGCGGCCGCUGGUCGCCGGAUCCACUGUCGACGGGGCUGCUGGAGGGGUGGUAGCGGACCGGGAUAAAUCCCUGGCUGGAUUCCCGGCCACGACGACGGCGACACCUCCUGGUGUCGUCUUCCUCCUUGGAGGCGCCGUCGAGGUGCCGCCUUGGGUGAGUUGGGGGUGUGCAGGGGCGAUGGGUGUGGUGUCAAGUGUGUGGCGGCUUUGCAGGAGGAGUUGGCGCCAUGGUCUUCUUGUUGGGGCAAUGCUCUGCUAUUUGGUUGUUCGUUGCCUGUCUUGUGGCUGUUUGUUUGCUGGCUCUCAGUGCCAUGGCAUGGACGGGGUGAAGAUAGGGUUCUUUCCCCGUUGGCAGCAACAGGGCAUGGAAGGCUUGAACUUGGUGCUGAUUCCAGCGGGUGCUGUCCUGCUAUCUGCAUUGGCUGUCUUGGCUCCCCUGCUUGCAAGUUCUUCUUCAACCUCGCUCAACAGCAGCUUCUCUUCCUUGGGUGUGGAUUACUGUGUCUUGAAGAGACUCUUCGUUUGGUGUUCUUAG
rnacentral:rRNA from 1 species